UACAGCAAAGCAGGGCUGGUAGUGAUAGAGAACAUGACAAGCUGAAGAGAAGUGGGUACAACACAAGAAACAGGAAGGGAGGAAGAGAUGUUCCUAGCAGAUAAAUUAGAGUUCCUUCGAGGCAGAAGAUGAUUUCAUUUGCAGCACAACUCGUGUCUGGUUUGGACGUACUGUGCCCUUCGUGACUUGGUCCUAGACUGUGCUGAUGAAAUGAUGAAGAAUGGACAGACACAUGGACAGAAAAGCUGGGAUCUGCUGUGUUCGGCCAGAGAUGCAUCAAGAGCAACCUAGAAACUCACCGUGUUUACUUCAAACACCUGAACGGAGGGGGCAGGUUUAUUGUACACAGCUGGGCAGGGAGGUAGGCUUAACUAAUCUUCUUAGGCGGUCUCUGGAAGGAAGGAAGGAAGGAAGGAAGGAAGGAAGGAAGGAAGGAAGGAAGGAAGGAAGGAAGGAAGGAAGGAAGCAAGCAGUCUCAGGGCGCAGUCAUCCUGGAAGAGGAAGCUAUGAUUGAUAGUUCACCGUCACCAUACACCCUCAACAUUAGCACUCAAAGCAGAGGAAGGCUUUGCCACCCCUCUGAGCCCAACCUGGGGAAGGCUUUGCUGUUUUCAUGACUGUAAGUCAUCAGGAUCCGUGAUAUGGCUGUGACCAUGCCAACAACCUAUGUUCACUCAGGGUGACAUCAGGAUAAUCACGUGGGCUUCCUCAGUCCCCUACAUGGAGGUAUGCCACCCUUUACAAUGUAACCUUCUACUGCCAUCAGACUGGGCAGGCUAAAUCCUAAGGCCAGAAAUGAGAAGGGAGCUGUAGCUAAUCUGAUGGCUGGUUUCCCUUUGUGCUUUUCUCUGUCCCACAGUUGAAAAUUUGGUUACUUAUAUGGGUUGCCUCAACCUCAACAUUGUUGAAGAGGAACUGUUUUAGACUGUGACAAAAUACCCGAGGAGCUGAGCUUAUUUGGAGGGAAGGUUUAUUGCCUCUCUUUCAGUCUGUGCAGAUUUGAGAUUUGGAUAAUUUGAGCCUGUGGUAAGGCAGUACGCUAUGGUAAGAGCACACACAAUGGUCUAGCAUCCUUCCACAAGGUCCCACCUCCAAAAUGUUCCAGUAGCUCACAAAAGACCACAAAA
rnacentral:lncRNA from 1 species